UACGGGGGGGGCAAGCGUUGUUCGGAAUUACUGGGCGUAAAGGGCUCGUAGGCGGCCAACUAAGUCGGACGUGAAAUCCCUCGGCUUAACCGGGGAACUGCGUCCGAUACUGUUGUGCUAGAGUGCGGAAGGGGCAACUGGAAUUCUCGGUGUAGCGGUGAAAUGCGUAGAUAUCGAGAGGAACACCUGCGGCGAAGGCGGGUUGCUGGGCCGACACUGACGCUGAUGCGCGAAAGCCAGGGGAGCGAACGGG
rnacentral:rRNA from 1 species